GGGCCCGCACAAGCAGCGGAGCGUGUGGUUUAAUUCGAUGCGACACGAAGAACCUUACCUGGGUUUGACAUGGUCGUAGUAGUGAAGCGAAAGCGGAACGACCCGUAAGGGAGCGAGCACAGGUGCUGCAUGGCUGUCGUCAGCUCGUGUCGUGAGAUGUUGGGUUAAGUCCCGCAACGAGCGCAACCCUUGUCGCUAGUUAUACGUGUCUAGCGAGACUGCCGGUAUCAAGCCGGAGGAAGGUGGGGAUGACGUCAAGUCAGCAUGGCCUUUAUAUCCAGGGCUACUCACACGCUACAAUGGGCAGUACAGUGGGAAGCGAACGGGCGACCGGAAGCGAAUCCUCAAAAGCUGCUCGUAGUUCAGAUUGCAGGCUGCAACCCGCCUGCAUGAAGCUGGAGUUGCUAGUAAACGCAGGUCAGCGAUACUGCGUUGAAUACGUUCCCGGGCCUU
rnacentral:rRNA from 1 species